GAAAUGGAUCAGAGCGAGGGGUGUGGACUUCCACCUGGAGCCGGGACUGGACCUCAGGAGGCAAGUGACAACCAUCUGUGACACGCAGGCCCACGUCUAUGCUAGAAAAGCCACCCCUUGAUAUGGGGGGAGGACGGGACCCGAGAGACCCUCGCCCGCCCUGCACUGGCUCAGCAGCCGGGUCCAGACUCCCAGGCCUCUGGAAAACGAACCUCGGGGGGAUGCAGAGGGUCACACAGGGCUUCACCCCCACCUCGGGUUUAGUCCUGACUCAGAGACGACCCAGCCCCCACGACUGGCCCCCACGACGCACAGGGCCCCCACCUGCCAACAAGACCAAGGUCACGCACAGCGGUGCUGGGAUCCUCCAGAGGAUUCCACAGGGGACUGAGGGCCUGCAGGGAUUCAAAAACCAGUGCCGGACGCAGCCUUCCUCCCUUACAGCAAGAGCUAGGAGAUAAAACAGGCAGGCCAGGAGAGUGGGGCCUGGGUCGCCCCUUUCUCAUGGCUGGAAGCCUCCCAGGUGACGGGAGGAAUGAUGGGGACAGGGGCGGGGCACUUGGGGACCUUCCUCUGCCAGAUGGCUCUGAUGUUUCCACUGUUGCUGUGAGCAGGAAAGGGUUAACUUGGCAGCUGGCUCCUCCACACCAUGAGCAUCUGCAUCCGGCCCCUCCCUGCCCUGGAACCUCCUGCCGGAGAGGACAGCCCUGCUCACCUGGCCUUGGCCGCCCCAGUUGGUCUGUGCAAUGGCGGGAUUUAUGGUGGGCACUUGGCCUCAUGGCAUCAGCUUGACCUCUGGAGGGUGGAGACCGAGGUCAGCCAUGUCCACGACACCAGCCCGGUGAGGACCCUGGACACCGAGGCUCGGGGGCUCCUGGCUGGCCUCGCUUGGCACGUGUUGUCACCCAUGGGUGCCAGAGAAUCAAGUCCACGGGAGCCCCCGGAAGGGGACACCUGGGAGCUCGCGCCCAGCCUCUCCUGGGCCCUGCCUGGGAAUCUUCCCUCUGCUGACUUUAACCCAUGUCCUCUGCCGUGAGAACCCACAGCAGGGAAAAGCAGCCUAUCUGGGCUCUGUCCGUCCUUCUAGCAAGUUGUGGACCGUCAAGGUGGUCUUGGGGGUCUUCCCGCCGCACAACAGCUGCCUGGAGGCUCACAGCCAAGAACGGUGCUCACUCCAGCAGUGGGAGUAGCCCUGACAGCAAACAGAUUUCACCCCAAAAUUCAGGACACACAGGAGCGUUCAAAAACCACACACACACACACACGCCUGCACACACACAUGCAUGUGCACAUGCAUACACCCGCAUCCACCCGCACACACACGUGCACACACACACUGUGCACCCUCAGUGCACAGGCUGGCUAACAUGCACGAGCCGCUUUCCAAACCGAAGUCAUUCCAGCCCCAUGCCUGUAGCUGGUGCCACAUGAAAACACCACUGUGUUCUUAUUUAUGGAGCAUGUUUCUUUAAAUUGGCCUAUUUUAAAACUAAAUGCAUUUUUUAUUUGAAAGGGAAUCUUCAUUUCACCUCUGCAAAUGGAAAGCUGGCAUCAUUUGUGUUAAAUCACGGUAACCAUGAAAAUAAGUAGAAUGAAAAUAAAAUAAUGUUGUCACA
rnacentral:lncRNA from 1 species